CCCUUAGAUGUCCUGGGCUGCACGCGCGCUACACUGACACGUUCAACGAGUUUUGCCUGCUCCGAUGGGACUGGGUAAUCUUAUGAAAGCGUGUCGUGAUGGGGAUAGAUUAUUGCAAUUAUUAAUCUUCAACGAGGAAUUCCUAGUAAGCGCAAGUCAGCAGCUUGCGUUGAUUACGUCCCUGCCCUUUGUACACACCGCCCGUCGCUACUACCGAUUGAAUGGUUUAGUGAGAUCUUCGGAUUGGCGCCACUGCGGCUCAGCAAUGGGCUCGGUGGAUGCCGAAAAGUUGAUCAAACUUGAUCAUUUAGAGGAAGUAAAAGUCGUAACA
rnacentral:rRNA from 1 species